AUGUAGAACAGACUGGGGAGUUAGGCGUUCCCUGUAACCAGAAAUCGUCUAUACGCUGGAGUUGGAACCACUAGAAGGUGAACCGGGCAGUCAUUGAUCCAUUAUUCCGAUGAUGAUAUACCGUCCUUUGGGAUCAGAGGUGAUGGCAUCAUAUAACUGGAGAGUUAUGUGACCAUCUUUGUUAUGGGCAUCAGGCCAGGCACGGAAGUGAGCAGCCUAACCAUGAACUGCUGAUGCUCAAAGGGUUGCGAUAUGGAGCCGGAAUAUGAGCAAUCAAUGACUGCUACGGACAUCAACUAGUGGUGGUUCUACAU
rnacentral:SRP_RNA from 1 species